rnacentral:pre_miRNA from 1 species
UGGGCUGCCCUUGCCUGACUCUGUCUCACUGAUGAGGAGAAAGGAUGAGGCAGGCCAAG